AGAGGAAAGAAAAUAUCCUUCCCUUUCUUUAUAUGCUAGGAGCUUCUACAUUUUCUUUCCUGCUUCUCAGAUUUUGUGAACACUGACAUCUCUGGCAAAGUCCUGGACUGUCAGUGACUGGGGACAUGUGAUGCUCAGUGGAUCUGUCUCCAUGGCUGUGGUAUCAAUUCUUCAGGGCUCCUAAUAGCCAGUCAGGGUAAAUCAAGAAACCCGUGAUUAUUGUCUGUUCCUUUGAAAUGCCUCUGCUGCUGCUGCUGCUGCUGCAGGAAGAAAGACAGAGAGGCAUGCAGUCCUCGCACGCUGGCAUUGCUGUUGCCUGUUUUAACGAGCCAUGGCAACCAAGAAGAGAGGAUCCUGGGGCAUCUCAGCUCUCAGGGUGCCAUCUGCUGCGGCUCAGCUGAAAAAGCCCCCAUCUCCCCGUGUUUGGUGGGAAGGCGGUAGGAGGAGUGAAGCAGAUGUCUGCUUUCUGUCUCUGACAGGGGACCCAAUCCAUUGCUUUUUGACGUCAAUAGCACUGUGGCUUUUUCAAGGGCAUGCAUAUAUCUUGUCAAUGUAGCUUAACAAGCCUGCAUCACUUCUCUGCUCUGGUCUUGCACAGGACCAUGUAGUCUGCAAACACUAUAACCUCUUUUUCCUGUCAACAAGCAGAAGAAAAAAAACCAUUGGAUUCUCACGUGAUGAAACAGCAGAAGGAAGAAACAGAGAGGAAAAGAGCAGAAAUAAAAUGUCAGAUAGAGGAAGAGAGCA
rnacentral:lncRNA from 1 species